CCAGCCGAGCUUCGGCUCGAACUGUUUGGUGACUCUGGAUAACGAUGAGCGGAUCGCAUGGCCUUGAGCCGGCGACGUAUCUUUCAAGUGUCUGACCUAUCAACUGACGAUGGUACGCGAUAUGCCUACCAUGGUGAUAACGGGUAACGGAGAAUAAGGGUUCGACUCCGGAGAGGGAGCCUGAGAAAUGGCUACCACAUCCAAGGAUGGCAGCAGGCGCGCAAAUUACCCACUCUCAGUACGAGGAGGUAGUGACGAAAAAUAACAAUGCGGGACUCAUCAGAGGCCUCGCAAUUGGAAUGAGCGCACUUUAAAUCGUUCGACGAGGAUCUAUUGGAGGGCAAGUCUGGUGCCAGCAGCCGCGGUAAUUCCAGCUCCAAUAGCGUAUAUUAAAGUUGUUGCAGUUAAAAAGCUCGUAGUUGGAUCUGGGGUUCGGGUCGGCGGUUUGCCGCUUCGGCGGCUACUGCCGUGCUCGACUCUUACUAGCCGGUGCGUCUUGCGGUGCUCUUCAUCGAGUGCCGUAGGAGCCUGGCAUGUUUACUUUGAAAAAAUUAGAGUGCUCAAAGCAGGCGAUUCCGCCUGAAUAGUGUUGCAUGGAAUAAUGGAAUAGGACCUCGGUUCUAUUUUGUUGGUUUUCGGAACUUGAGGUAAUGAUUAAGAGGGACGGUCGGGGGCAUUCGUAUUUCGGUGUUAGAGGUGAAAUUCUUGGAUCGCUGAAAGACGGACAAAUGCGAAAGCAUCUGCCAAGAACGUCUCCACUAAUCAAGAACGAAAGUCAGAGGUUCGAAGACGAUCAGACACCGUCCUAGUUCUGACCAUAAACGAUGCCAACUAGCGAUCCGCAGAGGUUGCUAUAAACGGACUCUGCGAGCAGCUUCCGGGAAACCAAAGUGUUUGGGUUCCGGGGGGAGUAUAGUUGCAAAGCUGAAACUUAAAGGAAUUGACGGAAGGGCACCACCAGGAGUGGAGCCUGCGGCUUAAUUUGACAACACGGGGGAACUCACCCGGUCCGGACACUGUAAGGAUUGACAGAUCGAGAGCUCUUUCUUGAUUCGGUGGAUGGUGGUGCAUGGCCGUUCUUAGUUGGUGGAGUGAUUUGUCUGGUUAAUUCCGAUAACGAACGAGACUCUAGCCUGCUAACUAGUUGCGCCGUGUUCAUACGCGGCUGUAGACUUCUUAGAGGGACAGGUGGCGUUUAGCCACACGAAAUUGAGCAAUAACAGGUCUGUGAUGCCCUUAGAUGUCCGGGGCCGCACGCGCGCUACACUGAAGG
rnacentral:rRNA from 1 species